CCUACGGGUGGCUGCAGUGAGGAAUAUUGGUCAAUGGGCGCAGGCCUGAACCAGCCAAGUCGCGUGAGGGAAGACUGCCCUAUGGGUUGUAAACCUCUUUUAUAAGGGAAGAAUAAUGACUACGUGUAGUCAGAUGCCCGUACCUUAUGAAUAAGCAUCGGCUAACUCCGUGCCAGCAGCCGCGGUAAUACGGAGGGUGCGAGGGUUAAUCGUAAUUACUGGGCGUAAGGCCCUCGUAGGCGGUAUUGAAAGUCAGGGGUGAAAUCCCCGCGCUAACCGUUGAAACUCCUUUGAAACUGGCAAACUGGAGUGUGUGAGAGGAUAGUGGAAUUCCAGGUGUAGGAGUGAAAUCCGUAGAUAUCUGGAGGAACAUCAGUGGCGAAGGCGACUAUCUGGCACAUAACUGACGCUGAGGAGCGAAAGCGUGGGUAGCAAACAGGAUUAGAUACCCCUGUAGUC
rnacentral:rRNA from 1 species